rnacentral:rRNA from 1 species
GAUGAACGCUGGCGGCGUGCCUAAUACAUGCAAGUCGAGCGAACAGACGAGGAGCUUGCUCCUCUGACGUUAGCGGCGGACGGGUGAGUAACACGUGGAUAACCUACCUAUAAGACUGGGAUAACUUCGGGAAACCGGAGCUAAUACCGGAUAAUAUAUUGAACCGCAUGGUUCAAUAGUGAAAGACGGUUUUGCUGUCACUUAUAGAUGGAUCCGCGCCGCAUUAGCUAGUUGGUAAGGUAACGGCUUACCAAGGCAACGAUGCGUAGCCGACCUGAGAGGGUGAUCGGGCACGCUGGAACUGAGACACGAUCCAGACUCCUACGGGAGGCAGCAGUAGGGAGUCUUCCGAAAUGGGCGAAAGCUUGACGGAGCAAAGCCGCGUGAGUGAUGAAGGUCUUCGGAUCGUAAAACUCUGUUAUUAGGGAAGAACAAAUGUGUAAGUAACUAUGCACGUCUUGACGGUACCUAAUCAGAAAGCCACGGCUAGCUACAUG